AUAAAAGCUUAUUGUGAGACAUUUCCGUUUGAGUCGCACGUUAAAACGGUUCACAGUCCGAUCCUGUAAAACGGACAGAGUACCAGAAAAAUUAAUGUAACAUAGAAGAUUGAGAGUGCUGAAAAACAUCACAAAAAAAAGCAGUUAGAGAAGAAGAGAAAAAAAUCGAAAAGCGUGAAGAAUUUGUUAACGGGGAAAAGAUCUCGAAUAGUCCAGGUAUCCUUCGAACGAAGGAUUCGGUUGGGGCUUACAAAAUCACGGCAGCCGCCCGCUCCCUUCACGUGCAAUUCGUGUUCAUAACCUCGCAAUCUGGUUAGAUCGGAAGAACUACCGGGUGACGUGUAGUUGACAAGAUCUUGGAGACGGAAUAAAGCAAAAUUGUCAAACCGGGCUGUUCAGUAACAAAAAAUCAACCAACGUGACGACCAGUGUCGUGGGAAGCUAUACUACGGGUACUGCCAGCCUCCCGCCCGCAGCCAGAUAUAGAUUGUCGCAUUUGUGCGCCCCCCGACCGCAUCAAGUAGUUUCAUCGACCACCCACGGCUGUACCUACGCGCAUCGCCAACAUCGUUCACCCGAAUCCCGCUAGCGUGGAUGAACCAGCAUCACCCCACGUCGAAACGAAGACUGAGGUGAGAAAAACACGAAAAAGUUCAGGUCCAAGAAAACCACCAAAAGUAGAACUUCAGGCGUAUAGGUCAAUGGAGCGUUGAUUAAAAAUGGGAAAUUAUCAUGUAUAAGUUUUUAUUUGAUUUCGGUGCGCAUUCCUUAGAAUGGAGUAACUUUCAGUAGGUCUGUUGUUAGUUGGUUAGUCAGAUGAGUGCCGUUCGGAAUAAACAACCCUAGAGUCUCACCGGGCUUUUAACCAUUGCGGCUUCGCGGCAGUUUUCCCUGCCUGGCGCAUAAGCGAAGUCUGUUGCUACCCUCCCACGCACGUUACAAAUUCUAUGAAUUUAUCAAUCAAUGGUGAAAUUCGUUUAUUAAUUUCUUGCUUCUUCACAUCUACCUUUUUAACCAUUCCGGCUACAAAAACAUGUGUAAGUUUAGCAAGAAACU